UGGUGUGUUAAAGUUCCAGUAGGAGC
rnacentral:sRNA from 1 species